UGCUGCAGCAGUAGGGAAUCUUCCACAAUGGACGAAAGCCUGAUGGAGCAACGCCGCGUGGGUGAAGAAGGUCUUCGGAUCGUAAAACCCUGUUGUUAGAGAAGAAAGUGCGUGAGAGUAACUGUUCACGUUUCGACGGUAUCUAACCAGAAAGCCACGGCUAACUACGUGCCAGCAGCCGCGGUAAUACGUAGGUGGCAAGCGUUAUCCGGACUUAUUGGGCGUAAAGGGAACGCAGGCGGUCUUUUAAGUCUGAUGUGAAAGCCUUCGGCUUAACCGGAGUAGUGCAUUGGAAACUGGGAGAC
rnacentral:rRNA from 1 species